ACGCCGUCGUCGAGGCCGCUGCAGUUCGCGCAGACAACAGCCAUCUUGGAGGUAUCUAAUUCCAAUAUUGUAUGUCUCGGUUGAACUUGUGAAGGCGUUGCAAGCACAUAUCAUUAACUGGGAUAUUCAUAUGUUUGAUGAGGAGAUCGGCAAUACCACUCAGGGUGGCAAGUUUGACCAUGCAGAUCGUUUGUUCCAAAGCAUUGAGAGCGCUUACAUAAAUAGAUUAUCAAAUACAAGUGACGUCAAAGAGCUUAUUCCAGAAUUCUUUUACAUGCCAGAGUUUCUUGAAAAUUCAAAUUCAUAUCAUCUUGGUGUCAAGCAGGAUGGGGAACUUAUAGGCGAUGUUGCUCUCCCUCCAUGGGCAAAGGCUUAGCAUUGCAAAGAACAACUUCUGCGUACAGUUAUGUAGCCCAGCUUCAUAACUUGAAGGUGAUGAUGUGCUAGCUUUCGCAUACAUGUUACAUUUCCUAUCC